rfam:Gallus gallus breed Red Jungle fowl, inbred line TCD001 Contig17888.1, whole genome shotgun sequence. [11-NOV-2016]
CGACCUCAGGUCAGACGUGGCGACCCGCUGAAUUUAAGCAUAUUAGUCAGCGGAGGAAAAGAAACUAACGAGGAUUCCCUCAGUAACGGCGAGUGAAGAGGGAAGAGCCCAGCGCCGAAUCCCCGCCCGCGGUGGGGCGCGGGAGGUGUGGCGUACGGAAGCCCCCAUCCCGGCGCCGCUCUCGGGGGGCCCAAGUCCUUCUGAUCGAGGCCCAGCCCGCGGACGGUGUGAGGCCGGUAGCGGCCCCCCGGCGCGCCGGGCCCGGGGCUUCUCGGAGUCGGGUUGCUUGGGAAUGCAGCCCAAAGCGGGUGGUAAACUCCAUCUAAGGCUAAAUACCGGCACGAGACCGAUAGCCAACAAGUACCGUAAGGGAAAGUUGAAAAGAACUUUGAAGAGAGAGUUCAAGAGGGCGUGAAACCGUUAAGAGGUAAACGGGUGGGGUCCGCGCAGUCGGCCCGGAGGAUUCAACCCGGCGGGCCAAGGUCGGCCGGCGCGGGCGCCGUCGGAUCCCCGCCUCCGCCUCCCCUCCGUCCCUCCCCUUCGCCGGGGCGGGGCGGGCCCAGGGGGGCGGGCGGGCCGGGGACCGCCGCCCGGCCGGCGUCCGGCCCCCGUCGGGCGCAUUUCCUCCGCGGCGGUGCGCCGCGACCGGCUCCGGGACGGCUGGGAAGGGCUGCCGGCGGGCAGGUGGCCCGGCGCCGCGCGAGCGGCCGCCGGGUGUUAUAGCCGCCGGGCCCGGAUCGUCGCCGCAUCCCGGGGCCGAGGGAGAGGACCGCCGCCGCGCCCUCCCCGGAGGGGCGGCCCCCGGAGGGCCCCCGCCGCGGCGACCGGCGUCGGGCCGCCGCGCCGCCCGCGCGCCGUCCCGCGCCGCGCGUACGCCGCCGCUCGCUCUCUCUCCGUUCCCGCCCCGGGUCCGUCCCGGGGCGCGGGGCGGGGGGGGUCGGGUGUCCGGCGCGCGGCUCGGCGCGGCGCCGCGCGUGUGGCGCGCGCCUCCAGCCCGGCGCGGCGAGGCCGCGGGGGGCGCCGGGGGGGAACCUUCCCCCUUUCUGUUCGGGCGCCUCCGUUCCCCGGCGGGGGCGGCCCGUUCGGGGACGGGCCGCCGGCCCCCGGCGCCGCUGUCCGACCGGGGCGGACUGCGCUCAGUGCGCCCCGACCGCCGCGCGCGCCGCCGGGCCGGGCUCGGGCCACGCCAGGGCCGCCCGGGGUCCGCGGCGACGUCCGGCUACCCACCCGACCCGUCUGAAACACGGACCAAGGAGUCUAGCACGCGCGCGGUCGGCGGCUCGCCCGAAAGCCGGCGCAAUGAGGUGAGGGCCGGGCGGGCGCCGGGCUGAGUGAUCCCGGGGGCACCGGAGGCCCGGGUCGGCCACGGGCCGUCUCGCACGGUCGCAGCGGGAGCGGCGCGCCGGCAGGACCGAAAGGUGUAUGCCUGCAGGGAAGCAGAGGAAACUCUGGUGGAGGUCCGAGCAGGUCCCUGACGUGCAAAUCGGUUCGCCGACCCGGAGCUAGGGCGAAGACUAAUCCGAACCAUCUAGUACUGGUUCCCUCCGAAGUUCUCGAGAUAGCGUUGGCGCUCGAGAGCGGCGGUGCAGGUUUUACCCGGUAAAGCGAAUGAUUGAGAGGUCUGGGGGCCGAAACGAUCUCACCUAUUCUCAAACUUUCAAUGGUAAGACGCCCGGCUCGCUGGCGUGGGCCCGGCCGUGGAAGCGAGCGCUCAGUGGGGCCACUUUUGGUAAGCAGAACUGGCGCUGCGGGAUGAACCGAACGCCGGGUUAGGCGCCCGAUGCCGACGCUCAUCAGAGCCCAGAAAAGGUGUGGUUGAUCUAGACAGCAGGACCGGUGGCAUGGAAGUCGAAACCCGCUAAGGAGUGUGUAACAACUCACCUGCCGAAUCAACUAGCCCUGAAAAUGGAUGGCGCUGGAGCGUCGGCGCCAUACCCGGCCGUCGCCGGCGGUGCGGAGCCGCGGGGGGCUACGCCGCGACGAGUAGGAGGGCCGCUGCGGUGCGCCUGGAGCCUGGGGCGGCGGCCCGGGUGGAGCCGCCGCAGGUGCAGAUCUGGGUGGUAGUAGCAACUAUUCCAAACAGAGCUUUGAAGGCCGAAGUGGAGCAGGGUUCCAUGUGAACAGCAGUUGAACAUGGGUCAGUCGGUCCUAAGCGAUAGGCGAGCGCCGUUCCGAAGGGACGGGCGAUGGCCCUCCGUUGCCUCAGCCGAUCGAAAGGGAGUCGGGUUCAGAUCCCGGAUCCGGGCGGCGGAGACGGGCGCGCGAGGCGCCCAGUGCGGUAACGCAAGCGAUCCCGGAGAAGCCGGCGGGAGCCCGGGGAGAGUUCUCUUUUCUUUGUGAAGGGCCGGCGCCCUGGAACGGGUUCGCCCCGAGAGAGGGGCCGCGCCUUGGAAAGCGUCGCGGUUCCGGCGGCGUCGGUGAGCUCUCGCUGGCCCGUGAAAAUCCGGGGGAGAGGGUGUAAAUCUCGCGCCGGGCCGUACCCAUAUCCGCAGCAGGUCUC